rnacentral:rRNA from 1 species
CGGACGGGUGAGUAACACGUGAGAAUCUGCCUCUAGGACGGGGACAACAGAGGGAAACUUCUGCUAAUCCCGGAUGCGCCGUAUGGUGAAAGAUUUAUCGCCUAGAGAUGAGCUCGCGUCUGAUUAGCUAGUUGGUGAGGUAAAAGCUUACCAAGGCAACGAUCAGUAGCUGGUCUGAGAGGAUGAUCAGCCACACUGGGACUGADACAUCGUGCCCAGGACUCCUUACSGGAGGCAGCAGUGGGGAAUUUUCCGCAAUGGGCGCAAGCCUGACGGAGCAAGACCGCGUGGGGGAGGAAAGCCUUUGGGUUGUAAACCCCUUUUCUCAGGGAAGAAAAAAGUGACGGUACCUGAGGAAUCAGCCUCGGCUAAAUCCGUGCCAGCAGCCGCGGUAAUACAGGAGGAGGCAAGCGUUAUCCGGAAUGAUUGGGCGUAAAGCGUCCGUAGGUGGCCACUCAAGUCUGCUGUCAAAUCCUGAGGCUCAACCUCAGAUCGGCAGUGGAAACUGAGUAGCUUGAGUGCGGUAGGGGCAGAGGGAAUUCCCGGUGAAGCGGUGAAAUGCGUAGAGAUCGGGAAGAACACCGGUGGCGAAAGCGCUCUGCUGGGCCGCAACUGACACUGAGGGACGAAAGCUAGGGGAGCGAAUGGGAUUAGAUACCCCAGUAGUCCUAGCCGUAAACGAUGGAAACUAGGUGUUGCCUGUAUCGACCCGGGCAGUGCCGUAGCUAACGCGUUAAGUUUCCCGCCUGGGGAGUACGCACGCAAGUGUGAAACUCAAAGGAAUUGACGGGGGCCCGCACAAGCGGUGGAGUAUGUGGUUUAAUUCGAUGCAACGCGAAUAACCUUACCAGGGCUUGACAUGUCCGGAAGCCUGGGGAAACCCGGGUGUGCCUUCGGGAACCGGAACACAGGUGGUGCAUGGCUGUCGUCAGCUCGUGUCGUGAGAUGUUGGGUUAAGUCCCGCAACGAGCGCAACCCUCGUUCUUAGUUGCCAGCAUUAAGUUGGGCACUCUAGGGAGACUGCCGGUGACAAACCGGAGGAAGGUGGGGAUGACGUCAAGUCAUCAUGCCCCUUACGUCCUGGGCUACACACGUACUACAAUGGGGAGGACAAAGGGCAGCCACUUCGCGAGAAGGAGCUAAUCCCUCAAACCUUUCCUCAGUUCAGAUUGCAGGCUGCAACUCGCCUGCAUGAAGGAGGAAUCGCUAGUAAUCGCAGGUCAGCAUACUGCGGUGAAUCCGUUCCCGGGCCUUGUACACACCGCCCGUCACACCAUGGAAGUUAGCCCGGCCCGAAGUCAUUA